rnacentral:lncRNA from 1 species
GGGGAUUUGCCUAUUAACUCCUGCUACCUUGAAGUGUCACAUAAACAACUUAGUUACAGUUUGGUGGUAUGGAACUUCAGGACAAGUAACUCCAUUUUGAUUUGGUCUGUUGAGCCUAAAGAGAUAUAAUUGUAUUGAACAAUUCCCCUCUUUUUGUCAGGGUCUCUCAUAGGUGACAGUGUGACCAAGACUUAGGGCAUCAGUACAAUCUAACAGUCACCAUCAUUUUGGGGUGCGCUCUCCAUACAUCAUUCAUGGGUUACAUUGUCUUUCUUAUCAUGUGUUUCUUUAAGUUUUCUUCAUUCCAGCCCAAAAGACCGUUUAGCAUACAGCAGAUAGCUGCAUGUAGAUAUUUAAGACUUUUUGAGAGGAUACUGUGUACCAGGAAGACUAAUAUUGUGACCAUCAGGAGGAUAAUACCAAAAAUUCGGAGCAUGUUUCUUACCCAGGGUCUCCAUGAACUAAAGCAACUAAAAUCAAACAGAUCUAAGAAUGAGCUAGAUGAGGAGUCUGCCUGUUUUAACCAAGUAGGUAUUAAUUUUUAAUAACUGAGUGUCUACAAUACUUGAUAUAUUUACCUAUAUGCAACAAGAAAUAUCAGCAACUACACAGACUACUUCCUGUUCAGCUAGUAGGUAAUCUAGCAUCCCAUGAUUGGGAUAAAUUAAGGCAGGAAGUGAGAACAAGUGGAUCUAGAAGUCUUUUUUUUAAAAAAUAUGGAACGCUUCAUGAAUUUGCAUGUCAUCCUUGUGCAGGGGCCAUGCUAAUCUUCUCUGUAUCGUUCUAAUUAUUUUAGCAUAUGUGCUUCUGAAGCCGAGCACUAGAAGUCUUACUUUAUAAAACAGAUCAUGAGGCUGGGCAUGGUGGCUCACACUUGUAAUCCCAGCACUUUGGGAGGCUGAGGUGGGCAGAUCACCUAAGGUCACGAGUUCGAGACCAGCCUGGCCAACAUGGUGAAACCCUGUCUCUACUAAAUAUACAAAAAAUUAGCCAGUCGUGGUGGCGGGUGCCUGUAGUCCCAGCUACUUGGGAGGCUGAGGCAGGAGAAUCACUUGAACCUGAGAGGCAAAGGUUGCAGUGAGCUGAGAUGUUGGCCAGGCUGGUCUCGAACUCCUAACCUCAAGUGAUUUGCCUACCUCAGCCUCCCAGAGUGUUGAGAUUACAGGUGUAAGCCACCGGGCCCAGCCCAACUUCUCAUCUUGAUUUGCAGUUUGAUUGUCUCUGGUUAUGGCAUCAUGCAUUUUGGUGAAAUCUCUAUUUGGCCCACACAUCAGUAAUAGGACUUGUCCUUUGAAAUUUACAUUGAGUUGUCCAGCUUCUGCUUAUAGGGCUUCAGGAACAGAGUAGUUCUUAUUUUUAGUUGGAGAGUCGUAACCACAUACUGGAGGAAACUAGAAGAAUUCAGAAUCUAGUCUAGUCUACAGGUAGAUAAUAAAAACUUGAGAACAAGGAACAGGGGUAUACUCUAUUAACAGGUAUACUAUAGCUAUCCUCAGAAACAUAGUUUUUCUCUCAAUAGCAGUGGUCUCCAAUCUUUUCGUGGAAGACAAUUUUUCCACAGACCAGGGUAGGGGUGGAGGGGAUAGUUUCGGGAUGAAACUUCCACCUCAGAUCAUCAAGCAUAAGAUUCUCAUGAGGAGCAAGAAACCUAGAUGCCUCGCAUGUGAAGUUCACAAUAGGGUUCCCACUUCUAUGAGGAUUUUUUGUUUUUGAGACGGAGUCUCACUCUGUCACCUAGGCUGGAGUGCAGUGAUAUGAACUUGGCUCACUGCAACUUCUGCCUCUGGGGUUCAAGGGAUUCUCCUGCCUCAGCCUCCUAAGUAUCUGGGAUUAUAAGGGUGCACCGCCAUACCCAGCUAAUUUUUGUAUUUUUAGUAGAGAUGGGGUUUCACCAUGUUGGCGAGGCUGGUCUUGAACUCCUGACCUCAAUCCUCCCACCUUGGCCUCCCAAAGUGCUGGGAUUACAGGUGUGAGCCACCACGCCUGGCCUCCUGUGAGAAUUUAAUGCUGCUGCUGAUCUGAUGGAGGUGGAGCUUAGGCGGUAAUGCUCGCUUGUCUGCAGCUCACCUCCUGCUUUGUGGCCUGGUUGCUCAUCUCCUGCUGGGUGGCCUGGUUUUUAACAGGUGAGCCAGGGGUUGGGGACUCCUGCUCUACAGUCACCCCCAUUUCUACCAAAGAUAAUCGGGGUAAAACUAAUUUGUUUGCAAAAUAAGUUUAGUCUCAUCAAACUUAGGCUGUUUAUUUAUACAAGUACAGCAAGAAUAACAAUUGACCACAUAGGCGCUAUUAAACUUUGCUUUGCUGGAACUUUUGAUAGGAAAUCAAAUCCAACAGAUUGGAUUAUUAACAACCUCUUGAGGCUAUGAAGCCAAACCAAAGCAUACCUCAGACUUUGUCUACAGUACCUGUAGAUUAAUUCUAUGCACUUGUCAAAUAUGGUAUCCCAGUGAAAAAAUAUAACUGAUAUUUCCAAUUUUAUUCUGAGAAAACUGAGCAGAUUCUUAUUGAACUAAACUAUGAAAAUAACUAUAUUGCCACGAAAAUAAAAAUUUUCAUGAAUAUUUCUAAAUUCUGGAGGGAUCAGGUAGGUACUGAAAGUAAACGUUUCAAUUUUUGUUCACACAAGUAUACUUUGCCAAAUUGCUGUAAGUUACAGAUACCUUAAAAGAAAGAGUUGUCUUAAAUCUGAAAAACAAAAUAUUAAAAAACCUGCAAUAUGGCCGGGCGCAGUGGCUCACGUCUGUAAUCACAGCAUUUUGGGAGGCCGAGGCGGGCGGAUCACGAGGUCAAGAGAUCGAGACCAUCCUGGCCAAUAUGGUGAAACCCCAUCUCUACUAAAAUACAAAAAAAUUAGUUGGGCAUGUGGCGUGUGCCUGUAGUCCCAGCUACUCGGGAGGCUGAGGCAGGAGAAUCACUUGAACCUGGGAGGCAGAGGUUGCAGUGAGCCGAGUUCGCGCCACUGUACUCCAUCCAGCCUGGCAACAGAGCGAGACUCCGUCUCAAAAGCAAGCAAACAAACAAAAAACGUGCAAUAUUUCGAAUAAAAAUGCUGUAAAAACCCAUAAUUCUUCUUCAUCAGUUUAUUUAAUCCCAUGUAAUUAAUUUUUGUUCUGCUUGAUCUUGGUUAGCAGCUCACGAACCCAGCAGUUUCUUCAUUAGAUUUCUGGAAAUUUCUACCUAGUCCAGUGGUAUGAUCUUAAAGUUAUCAGAAACCUACAUUUAUUUGUCAGAGUCCUCUCUAUCCUUCUGUUAAAAGAAAAAGUCAGCAGAAUUAAGUUUAAAGGAGUUUAGUUAAGCAAUGAAUGAUUCGCGAAUCAGACAGCCCCCAGAAUCACAGCAGAUUCAGAGAAACUCCAAUGGUGUCUCGUGGUCAGAACAAAUUUAUAGAUAAAAAAAGGGAAGUGACGUACAGAAAUUGGAAGUGAGGCUCAGAAACAGCUGAAUUAGUUACAGGUUGGCAUUUGCCUUAUUUGAACACCGUUUGAACACCCAGCAGUGUAUGAAUGGUUGAAGUAUGGCUGUGCUGGGAUUGGCUAAGACUCAGCUAUUGUUAUAGGCACUAUUGUUAUAACCUCUAAGUUAGGUUUUCAAUUUUCCCUACCUAUUAAGUUAGGUUGCAGUUCAUCCAAGGACUCAAAUAUGGAAGUACAGAGUCCUUCUCAUUUAGUUUGCUUUAAUACUUCCCGUGAAUCUUCGGAGUUUCCCUCUGUUGCCCAGGCUGGAGUGCAGUGGCACGAUCUCAGCUCACUAAAGCCUCCAUCUCCCGGGUUCAAGCAAUUUUCCUGCCUUAGCUUCUCGAGUAGCUGGGAUUAUGGGUGCACACCACCAUGUCUGGCUAAUUUUUGUAUUUUUAGUAGAGACAGGGUUUUGCCAUAUUGGCCAGGCUGGUCUUGAACUCGUGACCUCAGGUGAUCUACCUGCCUCGGCCUCCCGAAGUGUUGAGAUUACAGGCAUGAGCCACUGCCCCAGGCCACACUUCCAUAAAUCUUCUUGAAGACACAACACUUUAGGAUUACAGUUGUUUGCAAAAAGCUCUCAGAAGGGCUGGGCAGGUGGCUCACGCCUGCAAUCCCAGCACUUUGGGAGGCCAAGGCAGGCAGACCGCUUGAGCCCAGGAGUUCGAGACCAGCCUGGGCAACAUGGUGAAACCUCAUCUCUACAAAAAAAAGAAAAAAAAUAAAAUUAGACGGGUGUAGUGGUGCACACCUGUAGUCCUAGCUACUCAGAGGAUCCCUUGAGUCAGGGAGGUGGAGGUUGCAGUGAGCCAAGAUCAUGAUACUGCACUCCAGCCUGGGCAACAGAGUGAGACUCUGCCUCAAAAAAGAAAAAGAAAAAAAAAAGGUUUCAGAAGAGCAUAAGAAUAAAAGAAUUAACUAUGGACUUAAAAUGGCUAUGGUUGAAAGUCUGAUACGAGGUCAGGCAUGGAGGUUCAUGCCUAUAACCCCAGCAUUUUUGGAGGCCAAGGUGGGAGGAUCACUUGAGGCCAGAGGUUCAAGACCAGCCUGGGCAACGUAACAAGAUUUUGUGUCUACAAAAAAUUUUUUAAAAAAAUUAGCCAGGUGUGGUGGUGUGUGCUUGUAGUCCUAGCUACUUGGGAGGCUGACGCAAGAGGAUCUCUUAAGCUUAGGAAUUUGAGGCUGCAGUGAGCUAUGAUUGUACUACUGCACUCCAACCUGGGUGACAAAACAAGAACUUGGUUCUAAAAAAAAUUAAAAAUUAAAAAAAUCUGGUGCUUGCAAUUAGAAUGAUAGAGAUGAUUAGCAUGGUCCCCUCCACAAGGAUGACAUGCAAAUUGGUGAAGCAUUCCGUAUUAAAAAAAAAAAAUCAGGCUGGGCGUGGUGGCUCAUGCCUGUAACUCCAAUACUUUGGGAGGCUGAGGCAGGUGGAUCACUUGAGGUCAGGAGUUUGAGACCAGCCCAACCAACAUGGUGAAAUCCUGUCUCUACUAAUACAAAACUUAGCUGGACGUGGUGGCGUGCACCUGUAAUCCAAGCUGCUUACUCAGGAGGCUGGGGCAGGAGAAUCACUUGAACCCAGGAGGCGGAGGUUGCAGUGAGCUGAGUUCUUUAGCCUGGGCAACAGAGGGAGACUCUGUCUCAAAAACAAACAAAGAAACAAACAAACAAAAAAACUAGAUGAAUGCCAGAAUGCCAUAUUCUGGAAAAUAAUUUAGUCAGACUGGUGGCUUUUCAAUUUUGCUUCUGUUUCUUAACUGGAUUACUGAGUUUAGGGUGGAGUCCAUUAACAAAUAGGUCAGACACAUCAUUUUCUAUGUCUGGACUCUAGCACUGAUAACUCUGAAAAAAGAAGCAAAACUGCUUGACCUGAGGGACUAAGUUUUAUAAAAACCACUUUUCCCACUUUCUUUUUGUCUUUGGGGUGUGAUAGUAACUAAGCAAAAAGGUUGGCAGUUUCCAUUUUUCUUAUCGAUUGGUUACUUAAGCUUUUCAUUUGCCUUUUGUAAUAAGUCUUUUAAAAGAGGCAAGAAAAAAUUUUGAAAUCUUUUUAGAAGUUUCUGCAUAUCCAUAGGCAUCCCUGGGUGGGUCUAAUUCAGGAACUCUCUCUCUCUCUCUCUUUUGGAGACAAGGUCUUGCUCUGUAGCCCAGUCUAGAGUACAGUGGUGUGCGAUCAGAACUCACUGCAGCCUCAAACUCCUGGACUCAAGAGAUCCUCCCAUCACAGCUUCCCAAGUAGCUAGUAACUACAGGGAUAUGUUACCAUGCCCAGCUAAUUUUUCAAAGUUGUUGUAGAAAUGUGGUCUAUGUUGCUCAGGUUGGUCUUGAACUCCUGGGCCCAGCUAAUUAUCCCUCCUUGGCCUUGCAAAGUGCUAAGAUUACAGGUCAGAGCCACUAUGCCCAGCAGGAACCCUCUUUUUUUUUUUUUUUUUUUUUGAGACAGAGUCUCACUCUGUCACCCAGGCUGGAGUGCAGGGGCACGAUCUCGACCCACUGCAAGCUCUACCUCCCGGGUUCACGCCAUUCUCCUGCCUCAGCCUCCCGAGUAGCUGAGACCACAGGCACCUGCCACCACACCCGGCUAAUUUUUUUGUAUUUUUUUAGUAGAGAUGGGGUUUCACCGUGUUAGCCAGGAUGUUCUCCAUUUCCUGACCUCGUGAUCCACCUGCCUCAGCCUCCCAAAGUGCUGGGAUUAUAGGCGUGAGGCACUGCGCCCGGCCAGGAACCCUCAUUUUUAAAUGCACUUCCUUUUUUUUUUUAUUUGAGACAGGCUCUCCUUCUGUAGCCCAGGCUGGAGUGCAGUGGCGUAAUCUCAGCUCACUGCAACCUCCGCCUCCUGAGUUCAAGCAAUCCUCCCACCUCAGCUGGUAGCUGGGACUCCUGAGUAGCUGGGACUACAGGCACAAACCACCACACCUGGCUAAUUUUUGAAAUUUUUGUAGAACCAGGGUUUCACUGUGUUGCUGAGACUGGUCUCGAACUCCUGAGCUCAAGCAAUCCACCCGCCUGAGCCUCCCAAAGUGCUAGGAUUACAGGCAUGAGCCACCCACCAUACCUGGCCUAAAUGCACUUCUUAAAGUUGAGUAUCGGUCUGUCGUGGUGGCUCAUGCCUGUAAUCCCA